AUGCUUUAUUUGAUUCUCUUUGUUGGAACGUUCGUCCUGUCCUCGGGGCAAUUCACGACUAGCCCAUCGUUUACAACAUCAACCACAAGUUCCAUAACCUUAACUGCUAACCCGUUGUUGGCACCGUCAACCACAACACCUACAACCACAACUACUGCCCCUGGGGAUACAACUACUGCCCCUGAGGAUACAACUACUGCCCCAUGGGAUACAACUACUGCCCCAUGGGAUACAACUACUGCCCCAUGGGAUACAACUACUGCCCCUGAGGAAAUAACAACCACAACUGUUAUCGCGGAUUUUACAACAACACCCACAGCUGGUGUCCCAGAGGAUUCAACAACACCCACAGCCGUUCAACCAACAACAAUUCCUACAGCAAACCUGACCACGUUUGCACAUGCAAUGGUGAAUUUAUCCAGCUACGAAAAUCUGGAUAGCGAUGCAAUCGUUUCAAACAUUGAGGAGUUCUUGAAGCAAAUAAGCAAUAAUGCCCUUGGACCUCUGAAGAUAACAGUGAACCGUUUCACAAAAUGUAGCGGCGCCCAGUGUGGAGACCAGCAACCCUCUACUACCCCUCAACCCACC
rnacentral:lncRNA from 13 species